rnacentral:rRNA from 1 species
AUUGAACGCUGGCGGCAGGCCUAACACAUGCAAGUCGAGCGGAUGACGGGAGCUUGCUCCUCGAUUCAGCGGCGGACGGGUGAGUAAUGCCUAGGAAUCUGCCUGGUAGUGGGGGACAACGUUUCGAAAGGAACGCUAAUACCGCAUACGUCCUACGGGAGAAAGUGGGGGAUCUUCGGACCUCACGCUAUCAGAAGAGCCUAGGUCGGAUUAGCUAGUUGGUGAGGUAAAGGCUCACCAAGGCGACGAUCCGUAACUGGUCUGAGAGGAUGAUCAGUCACACUGGAACUGAGACACGGUCCAGACUCCUACGGGAGGCAGCAGUGGGGAAUAUUGGACAAUGGGCGAAAGCCUGAUCCAGCCAUGCCGCGUGUGUGAAGAAGGUCUUCGGAUUGUAAAGCACUUUAAGUUGGGAGGAAGGGCUGUAGGCUAAUAUCCUGCAGUUUUGACGUUACCGACAGAAUAAGCACCGGCUAACUUCGUGCCAGCAGCCGCGGUAA